CUGAACCUGCAAGCGGAGCAUCCCUCGGUCGAUGGUGACGUUUGGUUUUUCGCAACUAGCUCCCGCUCGUUGUGUCCGUGUGUGAACUGUCAAAAAACCGAAAAAGUUCACAUGUGGUUUGUUCUUUAUUGUACCCAGAAGCUGCCAUAGGAAUAACCUGAAUACUUACCGAAUACUUACCGUGAGUAACCUGAAAAAGAAAGAAAUUUAAAUUAUAAUUCAUAAUACUUACCUCAAAAAUUAUAAAUACUUACCUUACCUAGGAAAACAAAAGUAGGAAAGAGGAAAGGAAGAUAGUUAGAAAAGCUGGUCGGAAGGUAUUAGCGUGGGAGGAAAAUUUGAAAGUAAGAGAGAGAAAUUAAAUGUUAAAGAUGGAAAUUAAUAAAAGUUUAUUUAGUUUUAGCCUGCAUAAAAAAGGUGCUUGCUCAUUAUUUCUUUCCGUUCGGGGACGACCGAACAAACUAAAAUUUCAAAGUUUGGAUCGCACCUCACCCUCGGCACGAUGAGCGACCAGGAACUAGACUACACUACAACGCCGUGCGGCAAGUGCGGAUUGGCUCCAAAGGAACUAGGUGGAAUGGUUGCAUGCGACCACUGCAACAAUUGGUAUGAUUACGCUUGCGCGGGUGUAACCGAUACCGUUAAGAGGAAGAAAAAAUGGUUCUGCGAUAAUGCAGUUUGUGUGGCGGCAGCAAAAAAGCGCACGAAGAAGGACGCAAAUCCUCAAUCGACGGCAGAUGAAUCGGAUGCCGGAAGUGUCAAAUCGUCCACAGUGCCGUCCGCAGAUGAACAAAUAAAGGCCAUGGAAGAAGAACAGCGGCGGCUCGAGGCGGACUGGGACAAACAGAUGCUGGUGAAAGAGAAGCAACUGGAGUUUCAGGCCGCAAUGAAAAAGAAGAAGUUCCUGCAGGAACAAGCACUGCGCCGAAAGCAAAUGCAGCUAGAGGAAGAGUGGCGCUGUUUCGAGCUAGCAGAACUAGAGCGCGAAAACCAGCUGCAGCUGCAGGUAAAACACGAGCACCUGAAGCGAGUUCAGAAACUGGAAAAAGAUUUUCGGGAGCAGAUGUCAACUGUGGAUAAUCAGUUGGACACAAUGAAAAUGGAACGGCAACAGAAACAUUCCCGACCGAUUACCGUUAAGAAUCAAAGUACACCGCUACUAGCUCCGGCGGGAAAGACGGGUAUUUGUGUUGAGUCGGAAAUGGAUGAUACGGAGGAGAGUUCCAGUUCGGAGGAAGAAACUGAUAAUGAACCGGACGAGAAGGUUAAGCAGGGUUCCAGACCAACAAAGGGCCAACUUGCUGCCAGGCACGGGAUCGGUAAACACCUUCCCCUAUUUUCGGGAAAGCCGGAUGAUUGGCCACUGUUUUAUGCGGCGUACAACUCUUCUACAAAGGCGUGCGGAUUUAGCGAUGUCGACAAUUUAGCACGUCUGCAACAAUGCCUAAGGGGCGAUGCACUGGAGCUUGUACGUGGACAACUGCUUCUUCCGAAAUCGGUCCCUCGUGUUAUUGAGAAGCUUCGCCAACACUUUGGUCGUCCCGAGCAAUUACUAGAUCGUCUGUUGGAACGCGUUAAAGAAUUGCCGGCACCGAAGAAUCUAAAAGGGUUCAUUCCGUUCGCCAACGUAGUAGAGCAGCUUUGCGAUCACGUGGAAGCAGCGGACCUUAAGGAGCAUCUGAAGAACCCGUUGCUUAUACAGGGCCUGAUAAAAAAGCUUCCGGAUGCGGAGAAAAGACAAUGGGCUGAUAUCAAACGGGCUCGAGAGGGAAGAAAGAUUUCUCUUCGUACAGUAACGGACUUUCUCCUACGAAUUGCGGAUGAUGCGCGGGAAGCAGAAGUGGACAUCGAGCGUACCACGGAGACGAGAUUCUCAGGCGAACAUUUCGGUCGAAAGCGAAAAGAGAAAGGAGCAGUAUUCAGUCACGCCGAGGAAGGAAAUUCGAAUACAGUCGUCAGCCACCGAUUAGGGUUGAAACCAUGCAAAGUGUGCCAGCGUACCGACCACCGAUUGCGGUUUUGUCAGGAUUUCAAGAACUGGUCACACGCCGAGCGCGUAGCAAUGGUGACACGCGAUAAGCUAUGCAAGCUAUGCCUAGGAGAACACGGAGGACAAUGCCGGUUCAAGUUUCGUUGCAACGUCGGCUCCUGUAAGGAGGCACACAAUCCGCUCAUUCACCCGGUCAGUGCGGUGGGUAUUAGUGCACACAUUCACUCGUGCAACCCACUGCUGUUUCGGAUAAUUCCCAUACAACUACAUGGUAGGGAUCGGACGCUGACGGUUUUGGCAUUUUUAGACGAAGGUGCUUCCGUCACAUUGAUCGAAGGUAAGCUAGCUAAUAGAUUGGGUAUUGUCGGGGCCGAAGAAAAGCUUACAAUAAAAUGGACUGCCGACUAUUCACGUACUGAGAAAAACUCAAGAAAAAUGAAUGUGUGGGCUUCGGCAGUUGGUGUUGGAGAUAAAAUGUUGCUCAGAACGGUUCGCACUGUGGGCAAGUUAAUGCUGCCUCAUCAGAAAUUGGAUGCUGCAGUACUUUCAGCCCGCUAUCAAUACAUGAGCGAUCUGCCGAUCGCAUCGUAUGAAGGCCAGCCAGAGCUUCUUAUCGGUCUCAACAAUGUUCAUGCUUUCGCGCCCAUGGAAGUGAAGAUAGGUACCGUCGCUGACCCGAUUGCCGUCCGUUGCAAACUCGGAUGGACAGUAUAUGGUCCGAAUCAAGCGAGCCAUACUACAGAGAGAGGGUACGUAUGCUUGCAUCAUGAUGUAACCAACGAAGACAUACAUGGUUUACUGAAAAGCCACUAUGCAUUAGAGGAAUCUGUAGUAGCAACGGCCCAAGAAUCGGCAGAGGACAAAAAAGCGAUGGAGAUUAUGGAGCGGACCACGAAACGCAUCGGAGAACGGUUCCAGACCGGUUUGCUCUGGAAGGAGAACAAUCAGCGAUUUCCGGAGAGUAUUCAGAUGGCGCUGAGGAGAAAUUUGCAGCUGGAGCGGAAAUUAAUGAAAAAUCCGGAAUUAUACACGAAAGUGCGAAUGCAAACCGAUGAAGAUGCCAGAAGAGUUGUUCUGUUUCACGAAUUCAUAAAGAUGGAGGCGAUUUCGAGAUGGAACAGGCUGCUGAGAGUGACCGCCACAGUGUUGCGUUUUAUCGGAAAUUGCAAGCGCAAACAGAAAGGGUUGCCGAUACUCACAGCAAAGGCAACGAUGAAUCAACAAUUAAUGCUGAAGACUGCACACCCCGCAGUACAAACACCGUUGCAGAAAAACGAAUUACUGGAGGCGGAGAAAGUUUUGUGGAAACAAGCACAAUGGAACAGUUUCCCCGAUGAGAUGAGCGUGCUGACGAGCAACCUACAAUUAGCCCUUGGCCAGAAAGCAGAACGAAUCCCGAAAAGAAGUGGCCUAUACAAAUAUUCGCCGACGCUCGACGAAGAUGGCGUGCUGCGAGUAGAUGGUCGACUGGUGAAUGCGGAAGCAAUGUCCUUCAAUCAAAGGUAUCCUGUUAUCUUGAGUCGUUUUCAUACCGUAACUAACAAAAUCAUCCAGUAUUAUCACGAGCAGUUUGGACAUGCGAAUACAGAGACAGUGUUCAACGAGAUACGAAAGAAGUUUGUAAUUCCGAACCUUCGUGCAGCAGUCUCUAAAGUGGCCGGUGAAUGUGUAUGGUGCAAAGUGCAUAGGUGCGUUCCACACACUUCGCGCAUGGCACCACUGCCAGCUCAGAGUGUUACGCCUGGAAAACGCCCCUUCAACUCUGUCGGCGUGGAUUACUUGGGCCCUGUUAAGGUGACAGUUGGACGCCGAAAGGAAAAAAGGUAUGGAAAGCCAGAAGAGAUAUUCUCCGACAAUGCGACUUGUUUUAGAGGAGCGUGGAACGAAAUGGUAAAGGCCAAACUACAAAUCAACAGAAAGUGCGCCGAGGAAUUCAUCAGUUCAACUACUGCCUGGUGUUUCAAUCCUCCCGGCACCCCGCACAUGGGCGGUGUUUGGGAACGGAUGGUGCGGUCUGUAAAGGAAUCGAUGAAAGCGCUGGAUGACGGAAGGAAACUCACUGAUGAAAUCCUGAAAACAACAGUAGCAGAAGCAGCUGAUAUGAUUAACACGCGUCCACUCACGUACAAGCCUCAGGAACCCGCAGGCGAGGAAGCACUAACGCCAAACCAUUUCCUGCGAGGUGCAGUGACCAGUGCGGAUCUCCAGGUGGAGCCAGUGAGUGCAGCGGAGGCUCUACGAAACGUUUACAAACGUGCCCAGUACCUAAGCGACCGUAUGUGGGAGCGGUGGAUCACCGAGUAUCUACCUACGAUCAACAAACGCAGCAAAUGGUUUGACGAUAAGCGACAGUUGAAUGUUGGGGAUUUAGUUUUUCUGGUGGAUGGGAAAAUUCGGAAGAAUUGGAGGCGUGGAAAGAUAGUAGAAGUAUUUCCGGGAACAGACGGGACCAUUAGACAAGUCAGCGUGAGGACAGCAGACGGGAAGCUACAUCGCCGGGGAGCGGUUAACAUUGCGGUAAUGGAGAUAGUUGAAGGUAAAUCCGGAACAAGAAGUAACGCCGGAUGUUACGGGCCGGGGUCUGUUACCGCGACUGAACCUGCAAGCGGAGCAUCCCUCGGUCGAUGGUGACGUUUGGUUUUUCGCAACUAGCUCCCGCUCGUUGUGUCCGUGUGUGAACUGUCAAAAAACCGAAAAAGUUCACAUGUGGUUUGUUCUUUAUUGUACCCAGAAGCUGCCAUAGGAAUAACCUGAAUACUUACCGAAUACUUACCGAAAACAAAAGUAGGAAAGAGGAAAGGAAGAUAGUUAGAAAAGCUGGUCGGAAGGUAUUAGCGUGGGAGGAAAAUUUGAAAGUAAGAGAGAGAAAUUAAAUGUUAAAGAUGGAAAUUAAUAAAAGUUUAUUUAGUUUUAGCCUGCAUAAAAAAGGUGCUUGCUCAUUAUUUCUUUCCGUUCGGGGACGACCGAACAGUUCCAUUUUUAUACGUGUGUCGAAGUUCAUUGGAUGACAAGGGAGCAGUCCUAGCAACGCUCGCUGCUUGACCGAAUUGUACGGACCAAUCAUAGCGCAGAUAAUUACUACUCUCACAAAAUGCAUUAUUUUCGUUUUUUUAUAGUGGUCGUAUAUUUUCACGGAAUUAGAUAUAAUAUACAGGCAUUUCUGAUCAGCUAGUGUAAAAAUAAAAUGAGUUCGUUCAGUACAAUGGAAGCUAUUUGCAUUUCAAAACUGGGAAAAUACUUCUGCAGAAAUUUUUGAAACGGGACCCUUGUAUUGAAAUGUUUUUCAAAAUCACUCCACAUUUAAAUUUCAUUUACCACCGCACAACUCUUUGCACGCGGGGAUUGAAUUGAUCUUCUUGAGCUAUACAAACAACAAAAAUUUUGGUUACAUAUUCUUGUUAAAGUAUAUAGGGUAAAGUGCCUAUUUUUAAGUGCCAUAAUAAGGAGGGUGCCUCACUAAUUCAUUAAUUACUGGGACAACAAUCAAUGGAAUGCAUACAAAUUGGCAUCAACAGCUUUGCUUCGUUGUGAAGAACCAUGAUAUUAAAAAAUGCGUUGAAAUUUUCUUGUUUGAGCGCAAUUAAAACUCGAAUCGAAUGCCCCCAUUGCUGUGCUACCAUUUGACUUAAUGCGUUGAACAAAGAUGGCAGACGCUGCUCUAACCAAUGGCUUCAAAUGGGUAGGGUGAUAAUAGAAACCUGUCGUAAAUACGCUCAUUACCCUUUAUGAGGAAUUCCACGAAGAUCCGUCCGAAAAUCUCUAAAAUCGUGACCGAACAUCUUAGAUUCCGAUGAAAUUUUACAGGUUACACCGGCAUGCAAGACUGAACAUUUUCCAUAGUUAAUAAGAUUAUUUUGACUCAAGAGCAAUUUUUGAAAAGAGCGUAGGUGUUUUUACCUGCAUUAACUUCAAUUUUUUUGUUCGAUUACUCUAUUUUAUACAACAAAACUAUCUGAGAACGAGUUACACGGGAUGAAUACUUCUUCACGAAAAAAAUUGCGCUGAAAAAAUAUGUCAUU